GUAUAAAAUAAUGUAAUGUCAACAACCGACGGUCAUCAUUGUUGUUAAACUUUUUAAAAACCAGCUCUAUAAUUGAACCUCUAAGGUUGUUAAAAUUGUUUUAAAAAUACAGUGAAUAAAUCAUUCAGUAAUUACCAUGUUUUCGAAUGAGAGAAUGUAGAACAUCUCAGAAAGGUUUAGGUCUGUAAAUUUCUUCACACAAAGCUACAACUCAACAGCUUACUGUCUAUAGUUUAUUAAGACCUUACAAGUUUAAUAGUAAACAAGCAUAAAAAUGUAGAUUUAAGAUCAGACGCAUUUAAAAUCUUGGAAAGUGAAAGUAGCCCCCAAAACUAGAGCAAAGCUCAUUGCAAAGCAACGAGUAUGUCAUAUUGCUGUUUUAAAUCAGUUAUUAAUGAAAAAAGUCUUUACAAUCCCACAGGGAAAUUCCUAAUGAAUUAUUUUGUGUCAACACAAAUUGUACAAUGAUUUAUAUCUUUUCAUUGAAAUAUUUAUAUCAAUUCAAUUCAUUUUUCUUUUUAAAAAAUCUUUAUCAAUAUUUAUAGUGUAAUUUUUAUUACAUGCUAAUUGCAAAAAGUGUUUUUAUUUAAGGAAUGCAGUGACUAGUGGAAACAUCACAGAUGGCAUCAAAUAACACAGUGUCAGAAAUUAUGAAGAACAAAUGGAUGUAGUAGUGCAGAGGUUUGUAAGAUUUCUUGGAUGCAGUCUGAAGACGAUGAAGUGAUGAAAGAUCCAGGAUCCAGAUAUUCGUCCUGAGCUCAAAGAUAUGUGCACAACAUUUGCUAUACAAGUUAUGACAGAAGUUUAGACUUGACUUGUGAAAUGAUAAACAGCACAUCGAAAAAGAAGUUGGACAAAAAGUGGGAUUAAUGCAGAAACUAUUAAAGCUGCAGUGAGUGAGAACAAUUCACAGGAGAAUAACAAACUUGUCUAUAUGAUAUUUGCAAAAAUAAAAAUGAUAUGUAUAUUUAUCUCUGGGUUUUUUUUCAUCAGAUAGCUGGAGCUGCAAAAUUAAUGCAAUUUUUAAAAGACUCAGUGUUAUAAAAACAGGAUAAUCAGUUGAAGAGGGAAAUUCAGAAAGAGAAUUUGUACCAACAAUGAAUUAUAAAAUAAGAAAAAUAUUUAUAGGCAUAUUUUUAAAUAUGCAUAAGACAUAUGUGAUACAUGUUGUGUAAAUAAUCCCAAAGGAUAAAGAAAAUGAGUAAACACAAAAAUGAAAUUAACAUAUGUUCAACAUAUGUCUAACAUAUAUUUAUAAACAUAUGGUAAUCAUAUGGUUAUCAAAAACAUAUGUUUAAUAUAUGUUUAACAUAUGAUGAACAUAUGUUUAUGAACAUAUGUUUAACAUAUGGUGCUCGUUU